AAGGUGAACAGCCAUUUUGUUAGCUAGCUUUGAGGUUAGAGAGGGUAGCCGCUGUGGUCUGACGGCUUUGUGCUUAAAUUUCGUAGAUUAAGAUAACUUGUCGAUGUUUUUAUUUAGGUACAAUUUUCGGCCACACUCUCACAGACAAGAGCGAGACUCGUGUGUUUGCUGACACAGCGCUAAACUAAAUGGUCAUUCAUUUUUGAAGCUGCCUUGAGUUUGCUAGCUUGUUAGCACGGCUGGCUAACUUGUUUACGCGUGCCGCCAGAGGGAAAGAAAAUACUCCGCUCUCAUGGCCGCCAGCUAUUAAAUGUUCGAGAGUUGUGAAGUGCGUAUUUCAUACAGUUUGUCUGUCUGCGUUUGAACGCUCUUGUAUUUCAGUCACUCUGCCCAGUUAGCAGAAGUAAACUUGAGCGAGCGUCGACGUUACAAACUCGUGUGCAUCAUCCUAGUGUUUACUAAUAACUUGAGCCCCAUCAGCUGAUUCCUCCUGGACCAGCGCUCAGCCUCUCUGAGACCAUGUCGGAGCUGUACAUCCGUGUGGCCGAGGAUGAAAACGAGGAGCCCAUGGAGAUCCCCUCGGAGGACGAUGGGACUGUGUUGCUGUCGUCGGUAGCAGCUCAGUUUCCAGGGGCGUGCGGGCUGCGGUACAGGAACCCGGAGUCCCAGUGCAUGAGGGGAGUCAGGCUUGUAGAGGGUGUCCUGCAUGCACCCGAGAAUGACUGGGGAAACCUGGUGUACGUCGUCAACUAUCCCAAAGAUAACAAAAGGAAGAUGGAUGAAAUAGAUGCUGCCUCAGCUGUGAAAAUCAAGAGGGGCUUUCAGAAGACAUCAGAUCUCAUUGUCCUCGGGCUGCCAUGGAAAACAACAGAACAAGACCUGAAAGAUUAUUUCAGUACCUUUGGGGAGGUCAUCAUGGUGCAGGUUAAGAGAGAUGCAAAAACUGGAAACUCAAAAGGUUUUGGGUUUGUCCGGUUCACUGACUAUGAGACGCAAACUAAAGUUAUCGCUCAGAGACACAUGAUUGAUGGUCGAUGGUGUGAUUGCAAACUUCCUAACUCAAAGGCGUGUCCUGAUGAGCCAAUGCGGAGCCGUAAAAUCUUUGUUGGCCGCUGCACAGAGGACAUGACAACUGAUGACUUGAGGCAGUACUUCAUGCAGUAUGGUGAAGUCACUGAUGUCUUCAUUCCCAAACCUUUCCGGGCGUUUGCAUUUGUCACAUUUGCUGAUGACCAGGUCGCCCAAGCCCUGUGUGGAGAGGACCUGAUCAUCAAGGGUGUCAGCGUGCACAUCUCCAAUGCUGAGCCCAAACACAAUAAUAGUAGGCAAAUGAUGGAUCGAGGGCGGUUUGGGGCUGGUGGGUUCAGUCAGGGCUAUGGCAGUAAUCGCGGUGGGCUGGGCAGCGGUAGCAGUGGGGUUAACUUUGGGGCUCUCGGUCUUAACCCGGCAAUGGUGGCAGCUGCCCAGGCAGCUCUGCAGAGCAGUUGGGGAAUGAUGGGCAUGCUGGCUAACCAGCAAGGUCUGACCACAACGGCAGGCACAGCCACUACAACCCGAGACCAGACCUAUAGCUCUGCCAGCACCAGUUACAGCAGCCCCAGCUCAGCUAGCCUCGGCUGGGCUGCAGGCACUAACACCGCCUCCAACAGUGGCUUCAGCUCCAGCUUUGGCACGCCUAUGGAGUCUAAGUCAUCUAGUUGGGGAAUGUAGAUAGCUUUGCGUUGACCUUUUUUUGUUGCUAUUAGGCUAAUCUGGUAAGUAUACCUACAGGGGGGAACUGCUUAUAUCUUUUUUCCAAUUAUUUAAAAAUACACUGCCUUUUAUUUUGGUAAAGAGAAAAUUUGUACUUGCAUGUGACUGAUGAUGUAGUCAUGCACUGAAUGGGUGAAAAUUUUAGUUUGUUAGGUCAAACUGCCACACUACCUUUUUUUGUUUUUGAGAAAAUGUUACACGGAGAUGAUUGUGCAUGCAAGAUAAAUAUUUAUAAACAUGCACGAGUAUCUCGAGAGCUCCUCAGCCCCUUGAAAAAUGGGCUUGGUAUAAUUAUCUAUCUGUAAGCAGUUAAUUGCAUCUUUUUGUUUGUUUUUUGUUUGACAUCUUUUGGAAACGCCUUCAUGAAAAUCUCUUCUGCAGUUCACCAACUCUUUCCCAAUUUCCCGGGAGGAAGCGCCACAUUGGCAGCAAUGUUCGACAGAUCUCAGUAUCAGUUCCCCUCUUCCCAUGUGUAAAUGCUUUGUCAUCAAAGAACACAGCUUCACUCUGCAUAUACUGUGUUAGACGGUGGGUGUUCUUUUUUCCUCUCCCCUUUUUUAUGGAUAUAGAAAUCUUGUCUGCUCUUGUCGCUUUUCAAGAUCAGUGAGUGGGAUUGAUGUACCGAGUGAGAGUGAGCGAACGGGAGAGCAAAAUGAAAGAAAGCAAGUGUGAGAAGGACUGUUUGUGCAAAGUUUUUUUUUUUUUCUUAAGAGACAAAUGCCUGCGAGAGUUGAGAAGAACCUGUGGCUUUGUGCGAGUGUGAGAGGAAGAAGCAAGUACGAGUGUGUCCCUAAUGGCCAUCACAAGGACAUUUAUUGCAUCUCGAGAUCCCUAGGGACCUCGGACACGGACAGCCCAGGUUUUCGUCUGAAUCCAGGUUGGAGUGAGUUAUGGAGGAGCUGAAGCCAUUGGUGGGUGGGCCGGUGCAAACCAACAAUGGAAUUGCUGCAUCGACUGCCCAAAUCCUGAAAAGGAACUUCUUCACCUCACUAGCAAGAAACCUUGGACCAUCCAAAUGAAAUUUAGAGUGGACCAUACCCAAUUGGCCUGAGCAGGGUGAGAAGGUCUUCCAGAAGAAGCUCUUGCAUGGUGUUCUGUCCCGGGAGAAGAUGUGGUUUCUGAGGGUCCCCUCCGGCAGCUUCUUACUGAGGAUCAAAGCUCUGACACGGAGGAGUCAAACGAGGAGGUCUUUGAAUUAUUCCCACAGCUAUCUCAGCACAGGUGCACUGAGCAGCUGAUGAUGCAGCUGAGAAUCCCCUGACAAGAUUCAGAGAGCGCAGCAGGGAGUGCAGUGUUAAAAUGAGUAAGGUUUUUAUUUUGUUUCUUGAAAACAUGCUCCUUGAGAUUCUAGUCUCUCUACGCCUGAAUUGACCUUCAUCAAUGUGAGGGUGUUUACUGGCUGAUUUAUUUACCUUCGUCUGUCAAAAUUGUUAAGUUUAUACAUUUAUUCUCACUGAUUCCCAACCUUUUUAACUGGUUUUACCCCAAGACAUGAAGCACUGUCUUUUCUUUUUAAGUAUUUUUGGGGGUAUUAGGCAACAGCAGAGCAGUGACAGGAAAUGAGGACAGAGAGAUAUUGGCAUUGACAUGCAACACAAGUCUCCGGUCAGAUUUGAAAAAAGCAGUGUUGCGCUACAUGGUCAGGCACCUUAGUCUAAAGGCCACCAGGGUGUCUCAUUAAGCUGUAUCUGCUUGUGAUCCUUCAUCGCAGUUUGAAUGUGUCAAUGAGUUGCGAGCAUUUUAACCAGACUGACUUUUUUUUUGUAAAGCUCAUAUAAAGGUAACAAGAUCCACCAUAUAUAGACAUUUUUUGUCUUCCAUUACCCAUCAGUAAAAUCAGAGUUGAAUCAAUGUGUCUCUGGGUGAUGUCAAAUUCACUACUUAUGUGAAAUUCUUGACACUGUGCCAGAGACUUUCUUGAAUUUCUUGUUGCAGAGCCACUGUAUUGUAUUAUGCAUUAUAUUGAAUGUAUCUUCAUGUUAGUGUGUCCUCCCCUUUUAUCUUGUUCUUACAAGACCAAAACAGUGAGGGGUUUGUCAUUGUAUUUACAUUAGUCUUUAGUUUUAUUCUAAGGGAUUACUGUUACCCUGUAUCAAGAAACAUGUGUCAGGAUCUCAGGGCCACCUGCUGGACAACCACUGUAACGAAUGAAGAGACAGUACAAAGUUCUCUCUUUGACCAGUAGUUUAAGCUAAUUAGUACUUCCAUCAAGGGGCGGAUGUUUGCAGUCUUUUGCAAUUUAUCAAAAUUUCUGAUUCUGCAAGAUAUAUUUGAAUAUUUCACUGUUUUCUGACAAGCCACUGUAAUUACACUCAGUUGUCAGCUUAGUUGGAGCACCUAGCUAAAACUAAUGCAGUCCUCAUGAAAGUUGUAAUGUUCAGUUUUUACUGAAAUGGUUUCAGUGAUGGGUUGAUUAAGCUUAAUGAUCAUUUUGGAGGCUGCAGUUUGUGGUGUGUCUGUCGUCUAACCUCUCCUUAUCAAUUUGAAUGCGGUGGACAAAAUGGGACUGUGUACCCUCAGUGGAGUUUCUGCACUUUCCAGCUUGUAUUAUGAUGUUGUUAUAUGACUAUUCACUGUAUAUAUAUCCAUAAUUGACAUGCACUGAAAAUUCCAGUGGCUCAAAGUGUUUAUCUUCCACCAGACAGGUCUUUUAAACCAUAUAUCCUAUUUAUAGAUCAGGCAGCUUAUGUCACUUGUUGCCAAUACAAAUCCUGUUUACAGAAGCCAGAGAGUAAGGACCAUACAAGCUAAUUAUAAAGGGAUUGAAAUCUUUAUUUAGCCUAAUACAGUACAGUGCAACGGUUCACCUUAAUCCAGUGUUAACACCGUGAACCUUGGGCCCAACAUGACAGGUGAACAUUAGCCUGAUAGCCAGCAUAAUAUCCAUAGUAUCAAGAUGGAGUAAACACUUUGUUGCUUCCCCUCUUGUCACUGUGGUAAGAGUUGCUACACACACAGAGGAAGAGUUUACAAUACACAUAAUCUAUGAUUCCACUUCAUGAUAAAUAAAA